UUUCUUCCCUUCCUUGCUACUGCACCAGGAAUCGAAACAUCAAGCUCUGAUGCUUCCUCGUCAGGAAUCCCAUCAUCAACCAUACGCCUGCGUUGUCCUCCAGAUGCACCACCCUUCUUCCGGAACUCUUCCCUGAAUUUACCAGGAGGUGGGCUCUUUCCAGGUUUUGGAGGUGCUAAAACAGCCUGAGCAAUCAUAGGAUCAACAGCUGGUUUCUUGGAAGCAAACUUGUCGACCAAUAUUGUCUUGCGUUCUUUGGUCUUUCCAGCUGAUUCAAUUCCGUCAGUGGGUGGCGGCUUUGCCGCUGCACCGACAUCCUUU
rnacentral:lncRNA from 1 species